rnacentral:rRNA from 1 species
UACAGAGGGGGCAAGCGUUAUUCGGAAUUAUUGGGCGUAAAGGGCGCGUAGGCGGCCAUUCAAGUGACGGGUGAAAGCCCUCGGCUUAACCGAGGAACUGCCUGUCAGACUGGAUGGCUUGAGACCGGGAGAGGUGAGUGGAAUUCCCAGUGUAGCGGUGAAAUGCGUAGAUAUCUGGAGGAACACCGGUGGCGAAGGCGGCAUCCUGGACCGGCAUUGACGCUGAGGCGCGAAAGCUAGGGGAGCAAACGGG